CCUACGGGUGGCAGCAGUGGGGGAUAUUGCACAAUGGGGGAAACCCUGAUGCAGCGACGCCGCGUGUGGGAAGACGGUCCUCUGGAUUGUAAACCACUGUCCCCAGGGACGAAGAUGAGGGUACCUGGGGAGGAAGCUCCGGCGAACUACGGGCCAGCAGCCGCGGUAAUACGUAGGGAGCGAGCGUUGUCCGGAAUUACUGGGUGUAAAGGGGGCGUAGGCGGGGAUGCAAGUUGGGUGUCAAAACUACCGGCUCAACUGGUAGUCGCACUCAAAACUGCAGCGCUUGAGUGAAGUAGAGGCAGGCGGAAUUCCUGGUGUAGCGGUGAAAUGCGUAGAUAUUAGGAGGAACACCAGUGGCGAAGGCGGCCUGCUGGGCUUUUACUGACGCUGAGGCUCGAAAGUGUGGGGAGCAAACAGGAUUAGAUACCCUUGUAGUC
rnacentral:rRNA from 1 species